rnacentral:lncRNA from 1 species
CAAGCAUCUCACACUGGGGAAGAAGAGUCUGGGUUGGGAAGGAAUCUGAAGUGAAGCCCGUUCCCCAGAAAAAUGUUGCCAACCCUCGCCCUCCCAGCCGCCAGAAUUUGGAUUAAAAGAGACUAAAACGAUGUGACAAUGAAAUGCAAUGUGUGAGCCUGUCUCGAAUUGGAUCCUAGACCAGAAAAAGGACAUUUGAAGGGAAACUGGUGCAAUUUGAAAGGGACCUGCAGAUUAGACAAUAGAGUGCCUCAAGAGGGAAAGUUUCUUAUGGUCAUCUCACAACAAUCGUUGUCCCUCCAAUAGGGAAUUCCGCCAAAGUCUGCUCCGCAAAGCACGAGCAAAUGUUCAGGGUCUGGAGACAGUAGAUUGCUCCAGGAGAAAUAUGAAGGAGCCACCGUGAUUCCAUAUCUGCCUGGGAACUCUUUUAAGCUGCUGAGGUCAGAAGAGAUUUGCAAAGCCCUCCAAGAGACUUUACCGAAAGACAUCGUGUGCUGGGGGUUAAUGUUUUUCUUCAUUAGUUGUGUUUGUAGCUUCUUGAAAUUAUUGUAUAUGGACUGGCACCCGCCUCAGCCUCCAGUCAUCAGCACAACUGCAUCGGGGGAUGGCCUCCUGGCUUCAUCUAUCAAACAAGCCACUGUCUGCAGACGUUCUGGGAUUUGUUGUAUUUGGGGUUAAACGGGGGAGGAGGGAAAAUUAACGGGUUUCUAUAAAGAAUCACUUCUCUGGUUCUCGUUAAAGCUCUGAGGGUCACAGGAAAUCUCUGGUUUCAAACAACUGUAUGUGGCGUGAUCCUGUUUACUUGAAAUGUCUAGCUGAGACCUAGCUUUGCCACAUUAAUACUAAAUAAGUAAUAUCCACAGAAGCUACUUUUUGGUCCUCUUUGCCAAAAAUCUUGAGGAAGGGGUCCAGCACAGAAGCCUUACAUGCAUGUUUCAUAUAGAAGCCACAGGGUCAGUGGAAACUAGGCUUCCUUAUUUUUUUUUUAAGCUGUUUCAUGACAGAUAAAACUCAGCUGGUAAGCCAAUCCAUACCAAAUGACCCACCAGGGCCACCGUACUUGUUACCACCCAAGAGGUAGUUCCAUGAACUUCAUAUUUAUUCUCUUUCUAUCUAAACUCCCUCUCUGAAAUGGAUCCAAUGGGCGUACUUACCUGAGGUGUAAAUGGUUGGCGUUUGCAGCCGACCUGAUGCAGGAACAACAGCCUCUUGGAGUCUGUGCUCUCUCUG